rnacentral:rRNA from 1 species
GACGAACGCUGGCGGCGUGCCUAAUACAUGCAAGUCGAACGCUUCUUUCCUCCCGAGUGCUUGCACUCCAUUGGAAAGAGGAGUGGCGGACGGGUGAGUAACACGUGGGUACCCUACCCAUCAGAGGGGGAUAACACUUGGAAACAGGUGCUAAUACCGCAUAACAGUUUAUGCCGCAUGGCAUAAGAGUGAAAGGCGCUUUCGGGUGUCGCUGAUGGAUGGACCCGCGGUGCAUUAGCUAGUUGGUGAGGUAACGGCUCACCAAGGCCACGAUGCAUAGCCGACCUGAGAGGGUGAUCGGCCACACUGGGACUGAGACACGGCCCAGACUCCUACGGGAGGCAGCAGUAGGGAAUCUUCGGCAAUGGACGAAAGUCUGACCGAGCAACGCCGCGUGAGUGAAGAAGGUUUUCGGAUCGUAAAACUCUGUUGUUAGAGAAGAACAAGGACGUUAGUAACUGAACGUCCCCUGACGGUAUCUAACCAGAAAGCCACGGCUAACUACGUG